rnacentral:rRNA from 1 species
UCAGGGUAAGGAAACCCAAUUUUC